GGCGGAAUACUCGUACAUGCUCGCAAAAGUUAAGUUUCGGUCAUUUGAAUGGUCGUAUUUUUCACAAAUGGGGCGGAAAACACAAUUAACAUUUGCUUUUAGUGAAGUAGUUAUCUGAUUUAAUAUUCUGGAGUGAAUGACGUCACUUUUGACCAAAUUUACGUGUUUUAAAAAGCUGAAUACCUUGAGAACGAAACAAGAUA